rnacentral:tRNA from 1 species
GGAAGGGUGGCCGAGUUGGUUAUGGCGCCAGGUUAAGGUCAGCUUAACAUCUGUUUCCUGGUGGGGCACCCGCGCGAGUUCGAGUCUCGUCCCUUUCA